rnacentral:ncRNA from 1 species
CGUCGUGAGGCGGAAUCUGAAGAAAGCCGGAUUUCAGGGGUUAAAAGGUCCCCUGAUGGGCAAAACUCUGGCCUGACGAACAGAAAUCGCAUACAAGGCCGUGAAUGAGGGUGAGUUUGCAGCACAAAACAAAGCCCAGUAGCUACACGGAAUUAUUUGCGGUAAAUGCGGCAGGUAAAGAGGGAAAGAACG